rnacentral:rRNA from 1 species
CCUACGGGUGGCAGCAGUAAGGAAUUUUCGUCAAUGGGGGAAACCCUGAACGAGCAACGCCGCGUGGAGGAUGACGGUCUUCGGAUUGUAAACUCCUUUUGUGAGGGACGAUAAUGACGGUACCUCGCGAAUAAGCCCCGGCUAACUCUGUGCCAGCAGCCGCGGUAAUACAGAGGGGGCAAGCGUUGUCCGGAGUUACUGGGCGUAAAGCGCACGUAGGCGGUCCGAUAAGUGGUGUGUGAAACCAAUCAGCUUAACUGAUUGACGCCAUGCCAAACUGUCGGACUGGAGUCAUGGAGAGGUAGUUCGAAUUGCCGGUGUAGUGGUGAAAUGCGUAGAUAUCGGCAGGAAGACCAAGGGAGAAAUCAGACUACUGGCCAUUGACUGACGCUCAGGUGCGAAAGCGUGGGGAGCGAACUGGAUUAGAUACCCCUGUAGUC